GUGCAGUAGUAUGAGAAAGUUAGGGCAGUAGUGGGAUAGUUAUUUGGAAUUUCUGGGUUCUUCUAAUGGCUGCUCUU
rnacentral:miRNA from 1 species